rfam:Oryza punctata chromosome 2, whole genome shotgun sequence.
AAUAAGUGUAGUUUGCACUAUUCAUGUCCAAUGUUUGAUUACCCAUCUUAUUUGAAAAAAAAUUAUGAUUAGUAUUUUUAUUGUUAUUAGAUGAUAAAACAUGAAUAGUACUUUAUGUGUGACUAAUUUUUUUUAAUUUUUUCAUAAAUUUUUCAAAUAAGACGGACGGUCAAACGUUGGACACGGAUAUCCACGGCUACGCUUAUU